rnacentral:rRNA from 1 species
GACGAACGCUGGCGGCGUGCUUAACACAUGCAAGUCGAACGGAAAGGCCCUGCUUUUGUGGGGUGCUCGAGUGGCGAACGGGUGAGUAACACGUGAGUAACCUGCCCUUGACUUUGGGAUAACUUCAGGGAACUGGGGCUAAUACCGGAUAGGAGCUCCUGCUGCAUGGUGGUGGUUGGAAAGUUUCGGCGGUUGGGGAUGGACUCGCGGCUUAUCAGCUUGUUGGUGGGGUAGUGGCUUACCAAGGCUUUGACGGGUAGCCGGCCUGAGAGGGUGACCGGCCACCUUGGGACUGAGAGACGGACCAGACUCCUACGGGAGGCAGCAGUGGGGAAUAUUGCACAAUGGGCGGAAGCCUGAUGUAGCAACGCCGCGUGCGGGAUGACGGCUUUCGGGUUGUAAACCGCUUUCGCAUGUGACGAAGCGUGCGUGACGGUAAUGGGUAAAGAAGCACCGGCUAACUACGUG